GGCAGAGGUUGUAGUGAGCCGAGAUUGCACCACUGCACUCCAGCCUGAGCGACAGAGCAAGACUUGGUCUCAAAAACACACACACACAAAACCAAAACUCCAAGUGCAGAGUACCCAGUGCCACCUUCGUCUGAAUGCAGCGCUCCUGGCUAGGUCACAGCCACCCCUAGGCCCAUGCCUGGCCAGGGGCUUCUCUUGUCUAUGACCAGGCAGGUGACAGGCGGGAGGGACCCAGGUCAGGCCCAGCUGCUGCCCCACCGGAAACAGACCCAGCAGCCUUGCCUAGACCCCAGGUGGGUCCAGGUUUUUCUAUUGGGACAGAGACGGUGGGCCGGGAUGGGGGCGUCUCUCAGCUCUGCAAGCUGGAGAAUUAACUCGGGACUUGAGCUUGGGGUCCCCGCUGGGCGCAGGCGUGGGCUCCAGCGGGAAGGAAGCCCUUCGUGGGGUUCUCAGCACAGACAGCUGGAUGGCGUCGCCGGAUUCCCCCACCUGGAUCCGGAGACAAAAAGGGAGAAAAUGACGAGGCGGUGCCCAGGCCUGCGGGGUUGAGUCAGCCGUAAUAACAGCCUGUCGGCCCUACGUGUCUGUUGUUUGCAUUUCUGUUGCACAAGUUAUUAGCUCGGGGCGGGACGGGGAGGUCGGCGGUGCAUGGGACGGUGUCUCCCAACCCUUGGCACCAUCAGACUCUCCUGGCCAGCAGCUCUGGACCCUCUGCCCCACCGGGAAGACGGGGCUGCAUUCCAUGUGUUCCAACCACCAGCCUGCACCCAGCUUGUGCCCUGAGCUGUGUCUGCUUUUGGGACAGAGCCGGUGAGCAGCCUGUCACCAAUAAAGGAUCCUUGGCUUUCACUUCGAUGCUCGGAGGCUGCCCCAGCCUUUCCAGAGUCCCCCUGCAGGUGGGAAGAAGGCGGAGGCUCCCGAAGGUAGAGGAGUCAUCUCCCUUUCGAGGGAGCACGGGCUGCUGCAGGACGUGGGGGCUUGUCUGGAAGACCCCAGAACUCUUCUGGCUGUCGGGUGCUGAGGCCAGACGGGGCUGGAGUGGGAAGAUGCCUCCACCUCUGUCCCUGCCAUCCCUCAGGCGUCUGCGGCUCCGCACCUGCAGCCCCUCGGGGCAGUGACACAGCUGGCCUCGGUGUCCUGGCGGAGGGCGGAAGUGAUGGCGGGUUGCAAUCUUGUAGGGUGAGAAUCGGGUUAGACAGGUGAGUGCUUCAGAGCCAGGGAGCUGCACACGGAGGGGAGGGAGUGGCCAGCGCUGCGUCGGGCUUCUCCGUGAGGAGGUGAGCGGGCUGGCUGGGCUCCUCCAGGGGCUGGCUGGGCUUCCAUCUCAGCUAGUGGAGGUCCAGCCAGACUCAGGCUAGACGAGCUGGCCCCCAGAACAGGCUUCUGUGCCUCGGCUUUGUGGACAUCUGGGGCCAUCCUGUGCCUUGUGGGAAGGAUCCAUGCAGACUGCCCCGGUGGGUUUCACCCUGUGGACUCAAUGUGGACACCUGUGGAUCCUGCCCGGCUCGGGAGCUGGAGAGGUUGACGGGUCCUCUUCUCUUUGGCAAAGAUGCAGCCGGCCUCAGUCCUCCUCGCCCACCUGUGUGCCUCUCAGGACACCGAAGGACUCUCCAAAGAGGGACUCGGGUGUGAAAGGCAGCAGGGAACCCAGGAAACUCCAGUGCCAGCCCCGGCUUGCUCAGUGCCCCAGUGUGCAAGUGCCCUGGCCCCUGAGAUUUGGAUCACGGACCUUUCCAUGGAGAGGCAGAGCUGGGGCGCCCACCCACCGCCACUCACAAAGGCCAGGCGGAGCCCUCUGCUCCCCGGCCCACCAUGGGGGAGAAGCUCCUGCUGUCCUAGUUUGGGUGCUCGCAAGAGCUCACUGCCAGCUGCGGCCUGGGUGCUGCGGGCCGUGUGUGGAGCCCCCGUUCCUCAGGGACAGCGAGGAGGGGAACAGGGCCUGGCCUCGCCAGCUCAUGAGGCCCACAGCCUGGCCUGGGAGCUAUAAAUAGCAGCCGCAGCGUGGAGUUACCGCCCUCCCCACUCUCCUACGCAUGAGUCAGCCUGCCCCGGCCUGAGCUGGUGCCCGGAGGAGACAGGGAGCCGGCCCGACGCCCUGCCCCACGCUGGUGGGUCACUCAGGAGACGAAGGCAGGCAGGCGGACUGGGAAGGGGCAGGGCUGCCGUCUGAGUGCUUGGGUGCCCAGCAGCCCCGUGUAGGUGGGCACCCUGCCCAUGUGUUCCCAGCAACCCUACCGGCGGGCAACAGUGACGUCACUCACAGAUGGGGGAACCGAUGCUUGAGAAGGCACUUCCCUGCAGGCAGCCACGUAGAGCAGAAGGUGGGAUUUGUCUGCCCUCAGGGCUGUCUCCAUCUCCUGCUGAGGGCACCCCCAGAUGAGGGUCAGGGGCCGGGCCAUGCUCUGAGGUGCUCCCACGGGGCUGGGGUCAGGGCAGGAGGGAGGUGCACGCUGGGAGCACUCAGGCCAGGCCUUGGAUGCCAGGCUGAGAAGCUGGACCUUGACCUGAGAGAAGGGAGCCAUGGGUGGCGUUAGAGCAGGGGAGGCCCAUGUUCCAGUUGGAGCACUGAGUGGCAGAGUGGAAGGAGGGCUGGAGGAAGGGGUCUGGAGGCCAGGAGGGGGAGUGGGGUCAAAUCAGGGAGAAAUAGAGCUCUUUGAGCCCCAAAGCCACAUGAACCUCAGUGCCCCAACCUCAGUGGCAACAGGAGAGGGGACUGAGUGGUCUUGGGGGCAGUGCCAAGUCUCCGCAGAGGCAGAUGGGCCCACCUCAUCCAGGGCCAUGGAAAUGGUGGGUCAUGGAGAACCCAGGAGCUGAGGGCCCAAGGGGUUCCCGGGGCUGCAGCACCUGCUCACAGGCCUGGUGACGGGGAGCUCACCACCUUCCAGACCAGCCUCUCGCCCACUGAUGGCUCUGACUCUGGAAAGAACCCUGUGGGUCUCAGAGUUGGCCUCUUCACCAAGGGGCGCCUUCCUCUAACAGCCUUGCGGCCUGGGACUGUCCCGCACCCACCCCUGAGAGCACCUUCUGGCCUGGUCACUAGACCCCAAAGUCCAGUCUCCUCUGGGAUCUGCCCGAUGAGGCCAAAAGGAAACUCGGCCUCUGGGUCUCCAAAAUGGAGGAAGAGCCAUGGUCUCUUAUGGACACACAGACGCGUCAGAAAAGUCAGUGCUCCCCUAAGACGCCUCCUGUUGGGGGAACACAAACAUUUUCCUAACCGAAAACGGCAAACCCAUCCUCUGCAGAGCAGCACCAGCCCCCUUUGCUCACCCCCCACCUCCCUAGGCCUGACUGCCAUGGGCUGCCUCCCCCUCCACAAAACCAGCCCUACAGAGCGCAGAGUCCGCUUCUGCCCCCAACCCGCCCCUGCCCAGGCCCCUGGGACGGGUGGGCCUCCAGGUGCACCCCAUUGACCUGAACCCUCCCGCCUCUGCCCGCUUCUAAACCUGUUCAUUCAUUGU